rnacentral:rRNA from 1 species
UACGUAGGGUCCGAGCGUUGUCCGGAGUUACUGGGCGUAAAGGGCGCGUAGGCGGUUUGGUUCGUUAGGCGUGAAAUUCCUGGGCUCAACCUGGGGACUGCGUUUAAUACAGCCAGACUUGAGUGUGGAAGAGGGUCGUGGAAUUCCCAGUGUAGAGGUGAAAUUCGUAGAUAUUGGGAAGAACACCGGUGGCGAAGGCGGCGACCUGGUCCAUUACUGACGCUGAGGCGCGAAAGCGUGGGGAGCAAACAGG